rnacentral:rRNA from 1 species
UACGAAGGGGGGCUAGCGUUGCUCGGAAUUACUGGGCGUAAAGCGCACGUAGGCGGCUUUUUAAGUCAGGGGUGAAAUCCUGGAGCUCAACUCCAGAACUGCCUUUGAUACUGGGAGCUCGAGUCCGGGAGAGGUGAGUGGAACUCCGAGUGUAGAGGUGAAAUUCGUAGAUAUUCGGAAGAACACCAGUGGCGAAGGCGGCUCACUGGCCCGGUACUGACGCUGAGGUGGCGAAAGCGGUGGGGAGCAAACAGGG